UACCAGCACCCCGAGUGGUCGGGACGUUUAUUGGGCCUAACGCAUCCGUAGCCGGUUCUACAAGUCUUCCGUUAAAUCCACCUGCUCAACAGAUGGGCUGCGGAAGAUACUAUGGAGCUAGGAGGCGGGAGAGGCAAGCGGUACUCGAUGGGUAGGGGUAAAAUCCGUUGAUCCAUUGAAGACCACCAGUGGCGAAGGCGGCUUGCCAGAACGCGCUCGACGGUGAGGGAUGAAAGCUGGGGGAGCAAACCGG
rnacentral:rRNA from 1 species